rnacentral:rRNA from 1 species
UUGUUGGUAAGGUAAAAGCUUACCAAGGCUUCGAUCAGUAGCUGGUCUGAGAGGACGACCAGCCACACUGGGACUGAGACACGGCCCAGACUCCUACGGGAGGCAGCAGUGGGGAAUUUUGGACAAUGGGGGCAACCCUGAUCCAGCCAUGCCGCGUGAGUGAAGAAGGCCUUCGGGUUGUAAAGCUCUUUCAGCCGGAACGAAACGGUUACGGUUAAUACCCGUGACUACUGACGGUACCGGAAGAAGAAGCACSGGCUAACUACGUGCCAGCAGCCGCGGUAAUACGUAGGGUGCGAGCGUUAAUCGGAAUUACUGGGCGUAAAGCGUGCGCAGGUGGUUUUGUAAGUCAGAUGUGAAAGCCCCGGGCUCAACCUGGGAACUGCGUUUGAAACUACAAGACUAGAGUGUGGCAGAGGGGGGUGGAAUUCCGCGUGUAGCAGUGAAAUGCGUAGAGAUGUGGAGGAACACCGAUGGCGAAGGCAGCCCCCUGGGUCAACACUGACGCUCAGGCACGAAAGCAUGGGGAGCAAACAGGAUUAGAUACCCUGGUAGUCCAUGCCCUAAACGAUGUCAACUAGUUGUCGGGCCUUUACGGGCUUGGUAACGUAGCUAACGCGUGAAGUUGACCGCCUGGGGAGUACGAUCGCAAGAUUAAAACUCAAAUGAAUUGACAGGGACCCGCACAAGCGGUGGAUUAUGUGGAUUAAUUCGAUGCAACGCGAAAAACCUUACCUACCCUUGACAUGUAUCGAAGCCCGCAGAAAAGCGGGGGUGCCCGAAAGGGAACGAUAACACAGGUGCUGCAUGGCUGUCGUCAGCUCGUGUCGUGAGAUGUUGGGUUAAGUCCCGCAACGAGCGCAACCCUUGUCAUUAAUUGCCAUCAUUUAGUUGGGCACUUUAAUGAGACUGCCGG